GUAAUCGAAGCGCGUCCUGCGCUUCGCUGUUGUUCCGCGUUCGCCUCUUGGACGACGAGUCGCAACUUUGACCGAAUAGCCUGCUUGACUAAAAUCGAAAAACACAUUGAUGGUUAGAAUGAAUUUACUUGCAUUCUUUGUUUUGGCUGUGCAAAUAUACAGCGUGACGCCUGUCAUUCACACGCUCAAUUAUUUCGUGACGGCCUCUCAAGUUGCAAAGCUACCAGAGUACUGGGAGGCCGCGUAUGUUGACGGCGUUCAGAUUCUGCACUUUGACAGCAACCACAGGAAAGCAAAAGCGAAACAAGACUGGGUGGACAAAAUCACAGAAGAUGAGCCGCACUACUGGGAGAGAGAGACGGCGGGCAGUAUUCGUGAGGAGCAGGUCUUCAAAGUCAACAUUGAAAUCGCUAAAAAGCGCUUCAACCAAACUGGAGGCGUUCACAUGCUUCAGAGGAUGUACGGCUGUGAAUGGAAUGAUGAGACUGGGGAGGUUGAUGGUUGGCUGCACGACCGUUACGAUGGAGAAGACUUCAUAUCAUUUGAGCUGAAGACGAUGAGCUGGAUCGCAGCACAUCCGCAAGCUUUCAUCACCAAACUCCAGUGGGACCAAAUAGACGGGUUCAAUCAAGUCGUGAAGAGUGACCUAACUGAGGUCUGUUCUUUAUGGUUGAAGAAGCACGUGAGCAACGGGAGGGAGUUCCUGACCAGAACCGAGCUUCCCACGGUGUCUCUCCUGCAGAAGACGCCUUCCUCUCCAAUCACCUGCCACGCCACGGGUUUCUACCCCAGGACGUCGGACCUCUUUUGGAGGAAGGACGGCGAGCAGAUCCACGAGGACGUGGAGAUGGGGGAGACCCUCCCCAACCACGACGGAACCUUCCAGACCACGGCCGACCUUAAAGUGGAGCUGACGCCCGCCGUGGAGGGCCGCUACAAAUGCGUGUUCAAACUGGAUGGCGUUCGGGAAGAGAUGGUCACCAAGCUGUACGCCAAAAGCAUCCUGAGCAACGUGCGCAUCCAGGAAGAGGAAGACAGGAAGAAGGCGGUGGCCAUCGCUGUCCCGCUGGUGGUCCUGGCUCUGGUGGCGAUGGCGGUGGCGCUGGGGGUGUUCCUGGCCAAGCGUCCCAAAAGCCAACAAGCCAAUUACGCUCCAGCUUCCAGCGCCUCAUGUUCUGAGCAGGAUUGAAUGAACCCCACUAAGGUUGAAGGGGAUGUCUUCUUUUCUUGGGUGCCACGCUUGAUUGAAUCAUCACAUUCCAACUGUAUGAAAUACUUGGAAAUGUUUCUUAUUUCAAAUUGAAGUGCAACAGUUUUACAAGUGCAGUGAAUUCUAAUUGUAUUUACUUCACUAGUUCUUCCAAAUACCGCUAGAGGGAGCCAACAUACCACAAGUGAUAUCCUGCAUCACACGUUGCUUUUUUUUAAGUGCUUUUUGUUAAGCGAACUACUGAUCAAUUUGAUAUAAGUUUGAGUAUCAUUAUAAAAAUGUUUGAAAUGAGGUUUCUGGUCACUGUAUUUUCACUUGUGGAUAUAUAAUUUAGCAAGGAUAAGCAAAAAAUUUAUGAUAAAGAUCACGUCUUUUUUCUGUUGUCUUCUAAA